rnacentral:rRNA from 1 species
CAGUCGCCGCGGUAAUACGUAGGGUGCAAGCGUUAAUCGGAAUUACUGGGCGUAAAGCGUGCGCAGGCGGUUAUAUAAGACAGAUGUGAAAUCCCCGGGCUCAACCUGGGAACUGCAUUUGUGACUGUAUAGCUAGAGUACGGCAGAGGGGGAUGGAAUUCCGCGUGUAGCAGUGAAAUGCGUAGAUAUGCGGAGGAACACCGAUGGCGAAGGCAAUCCCCUGGGCCUGUACUGACGCUCAUGCACGAAAGCGUGGGGAGCAAACAGGAUUAGAUACCCCUGUAGUCCCUGUCUCUUAUAC